GUUUACAUUUCCCUUUCUCUACGCUUUUAAGCUUCUGCGCCAAAACACAUUGGUUCGGGCGGGCUAAAAUCGCUGAGUGAAAAUCGCUGAGCGUUGAGCGUUGAGUUAAGGCGCUUUUCUGACUUUUCAUUUUAGUCUUGGUUUCGUAUCCGUUCGUGGCGUUUGUUGGUCGAAUUGGUAGCAAAUGUUGUUAGCCCAGCGGUUGUCGUGGCAAUAUUAAAGUGAAAAAAGUGGAACGAAAAAUUUCGAAAAAUUGUUUUGUUCAAAAACUCUUUUGCUGCGAGUGUCAAUCCUCAUAAAUUCGUGUAAUGAAAAGACAGUUCCAAAGGAUUUUCGUGAAAAAAUUUUGAGUGGCUUUUAAAUGAUACUAAUAACUGGGGGAUUGAGUAUACAAUGAAACUGGGGGCCACAAAGAAGCAAGAAAUUUUAUCAUAAAUCGGAAUACUAAGCAAUCAAAUCUGCAAUUGGUUUUCCAUUGAAUGAACUUUUGUGGUUAAUGUUAAACGAUGAAUUUACGUUUACAGCUAAAUGUA